rnacentral:misc_RNA from 1 species
GAUGAAGAACGUAGCGAAAUGCGAUAAGUAAUGUGAAUUGCAGAAUUCAGUGAAUCAUCGAAUCUUUGAACGCACAUUGCGCCCGCUAGUAUUCUGGCGGGCAUGCCUGUCCGAGCGUCAUUUCAACCCUCAAGCCCCCGGGCUUGGUGUUGGGGAUCGGCGAGCCUCCGCGCCCGCCGUCCCCUAAAUCUAGUGGCGGUCUCGCUGUAGCUUCCUCUGCGUAGUAGCACACCUCGCACUGGGAAACAGCGCGGCCACGCCGUUAAACCCCAAACUUCUGAACGUUUGACCUCGGAUCAGGUAGGAAUACCCGCUGAACUUAAGCAUAUCAAUAAGCGGAGGA